rnacentral:tRNA from 1 species
UGGCUCAGUGGUAGAGUGCUUGCCUUGCAUGCAUGAGGCCCUGGGUUUGAUCCUCAG